rnacentral:lncRNA from 1 species
AGGAGUUAUAGCCAAUGGUUCAAUCAAGUCAAACCCAUGAAGCAAAAGUCUUUUGUUUUCCCAUCGGUCACCCAAACUAUGUUGCUUAUUAGUAUCAACCUAUUAUCACUCAAAAUUGUACAAGCUCUAAAACUCUGUAUUUGUUGUUCCUGUCCAAAAACCAAAAUAAAAUCCUUAGUUUCCGGUGUAAACGACGCAACUUAGACAAGAACGUAGCUUUUAAGAUUUUUUUUUUUUUUUUUUUGUAAUAAUUUUAGUAAAACUCUUGUUUUUUUUUUUCCCUCCUCCGUAAAACGCGGGAAAUCCUGAGACGUUAAGAAAGAAGAGACAUUUAUAGCAUAUACACAAAUAAAUUUAGAUGCAAAGGGUUGAAGAAAGAGAAAAAGAAAAAAGGAAAAAAAGAAAGAAAAAGAGGAAGAAGUAUCGUUCGAAAAGAGGGGAGUCUCAGGAAAAAAACUAAAGGAAGAUUUUUUCCGGUGACGGUGUCGGUUUCUCUGACGCUCCCCCCUGUUUUUCAAUCUUUCUCCGUCUCUCCCUGAAUGCCUUCAUCUGUAUUCAGGGUUCGUUUUCUUCGAUAGAUUCUUCUUCAAGCAACCAUUCUCCUCUUUGUCGAUUCUUAGGGCUUUUUUUUCUUUCUCUUUUUUUGCAGAAAAUUGCGGCGAUUCAUGGUUGGAGGAGCGAAUACUUAAAAGGGCACAAUGGAUUCAAGCGAAGCAAAGGACACACCAUCUUGUGACUGUAUAUAAAUAACGUCGAUUUGUGUAGGUUUUAAAAAAUCGAUUUUUUUGUUCUUUACUUGUGUAAAUAUAUAAAGAAUAGGGAGUGCCAAAAUUUUGGCAUGAAUUGCUUGGCAACGACCAUAAUCAUCACCUGCAAGCCCUCAUUGAUCUCGGAUAUGGCCGUGGCUAUUGAUCCAUUCAGCGACCAGUUCCCUUACUUCAACCGAUCCUCACAAAGAUGCAGACUCCAAUCAUUAACCAACCUUGACUUCAACUUCCUUGAAUCUAACCUCGCGCAAUCUCUUAAUCGAACGUCUCAAGAUGACAACAUCCAUCGAAGCGUCUCUUCUCCUUGCUUCUCCAUAGCUGCGUCUGCUAAUAUGGAGGAAGAUCUUAAAGCAACCGCCGCUCCACGGAUUGAGAUUCUUGGUGGCCAGAGAGUUCCCACGGUUCGUGCCCUUGUGGCUGAGGUGACCAUGGCUAUGGUAUCUGGAGCUCAGCCUCUGCUUUUACCAAGUGGCUUGGGAGGUGCUUAUCUCUUGCAAACCGGAAAGGGUCAUAACAUUGCUGUGGCUAAACCGGUUGAUGAAGAGCCUUUAGCCUUCAACAAUCCCAAAAAGUCUGGAAGUUUGAUGCUUGGGCAACCGGGAAUGAAGCAUUCUAUUCCUGUUGGUGAAACCGGUAUCAGAGAGUUAGCUGCUUACCUUCUGGAUUACCAAGGCUUCUCUGGUGUUCCACCAACAGCUUUGGUUAGCAUCUCG